rnacentral:rRNA from 1 species
AUUAUUUUUUUAGAUUCUUUUUUAUUGUUGAAAAAAUUAAAAACAAAUUGUUUUUUACAAUAAUUAAAAUUUAUAAUAUUUCAAUUUUUAAUUUUUAGUUUUAAAUAAAAAUUACAAAUAUGAAAAAUAAAAAAAUUUUGUUAUAAAUUAAAUUAAUUUAUUUAUAUUAAAAAUAUUUUUUAUAAUUUUUAUUUUUUUUAUUUUUUUAAAAAAAAAAUAAUUUAAUUAUAAUUAUUUCUUUAAAUUUAAUAAUUAAAUAUAAAAUUUUUUAUUAAAUAAAUUUAAUAAUAAAUGUUUUUUAAAUUCUUUGAGGUUUUGAUUUUUGAUUUUUUGUUUCUGCUCAUUGUUAAAGAAAAGCACUUUUAGCGUGAUUGGUCAAAGGUA